rnacentral:rRNA from 1 species
GAUGAACGCUAGCUACAGGCUUAACACAUGCAAGUCGAGGGGUAACAAGAGGAAAGCUUGCUUUCCUUGUUGACGACCGGCGCACGGGUGAGUAACGCGUAUCCAACCUGCCUAUAACUAGGGAAUAACCUUGCGAAAGUAAGACUAAUACCCUAUGAUUUCCUUUGAUGACAUCAGAUUAGGAAUAAAGAUUUAUCGGUUAUAGAUGGGGAUGCGUCUGAUUAGCUUGUUGGCGGGGUAACGGCCCACACAGGCAACGAUCAGUAGGGGUUCUGAGAGGAAGGUCCCCAGCAUUGGAACUGAGACACGGUCCAAACUCCUACGGGAGGCAGCAGUGAGGAAUAUUGGUCAAUGGGCGGAAGCCUGAACCAGCCAAGUAGCGUGCAGGAUGACGGCCCUAUGGGUUGUAAACUGCUUUUAUACAGGAAUAAAGUUAGCCACGUGUGGUUAUUUGUAGGUACUGUAUGAAUAAGGACCGGCUAAUUCCGUGCCAGCCGCCGCCGUAA